rnacentral:rRNA from 1 species
CAAUAGCGUAUAUUAAAGUUGUUGCGGUUAAAAAGCUCGUAGUUGGAUUUCUGCCGAGGACGACCGGUCCGCCCUCUGGGUGAGCAUCUGGAUCGGCCUGGGCAUCUUCUUGGGGAACGUGUCUGCACUUGACUGUGUGGUGCGGUAUCCAGGACUUUUACUUUGAGGAAAUUAGAGUGUUCACGGCAGGCAAGCGCCUUGAAUAUAUUAGCAUGGAAUAAUAAUAUAGGACUUUGGUUUCUAUUUUGUUUGGUUUUCUUAGAACUAAAGUAAAUAGAUUAAUAAGGGAGUAAUUAGGGGGUCGGAUUUGUUACUAUCGAGUCAGAGGU